GCCCAGAGCUAGCCCAGACAAUAACCGAUUAAACUACCACAGGCCAAUUAAAUAAAACAUUCAGUAGCGCAAUUAAAGUAUAGGAGAUAGAAAUUCUUUAGAUCGGAGCUAUAGAGAAAGUACCGCAAGGGAACGAUGAAAGAUUACCCAAAGUGAUAAACAGCAAAGAUUACCCCUUCUACCUUUUGCAUAAUGAGUUAGCCAGAAAUAACCUAACAAAGAGAACUUAAGCUAGGUCCCCCGAAACCAGACGAGCUACCUAUGAACAAUCCACUGGGGUAAACUCAUCUAUGUUGCAAAAUAGUGAGAAGAUUUGUAGGUAGAGGUGAAAAGCCUAACGAGCCUGGUGAUAGCUGGUUGCCCAGAAUAGAACUUCAGUUCAACUUUAAACUUGCCUACAAAACUUAGAUAAUUUUAAUGCAAGUUUAAAAUAUAUUCUAAAAAGGUACAGCUUUUUAGAAUCAAGGAUACAACCUUACUUAGAGAGUAAAUACUGAUUAAACCAUAGUAGGCCUAGAAGCAGCCACCAAUUAAGAAAGCGUUUAAGCUCAACAUCCAUGUCAACUUAAUACCAAAAGUAUUUAAUCAACUCCUAAUAUAACAACUGGGCUAAUCUAUUUUAAUAUAGAAGCAAUAAUGCUAAUAUGAGUAACGAGAGAUACCUCUCCAACGCAUAAGCCUAUAACAGCAACGGAUAACCACUGAUAGUUAACAACAACGUAGAAAUAACCCAACAAUAAAACAUCUACCAAACCAAUUGUUAAUCCAACACAGGUAUGCGACUAAGGAAAGAUUAAAAGAAGUAAAAGGAACUCGGCAAGCACAAAUCCCGCCUGUUUACCAAAAACAUCACCUCCAGCAUUCCCAGUAUUGGAGGCACUGCCUGCCCGGUGACAUUAGUUAAACGGCCGCGGUAUUCUGACCGUGCAAAGGUAGCAUAAUCAUUUGUUCUCUAAAUAAGGACUUGUAUGAAAGGCCACACGAGGGUUUAACUGUCUCUUACUUCCAAUCAGUGAAAUUGACCUUCCCGUGAAGAGGCGGGAAUAAAACAAUAAGACGAGAAGACCCUAUGGAGCUUUAAUUAACUAGCUCAAAAGAAUCUACCUACCAGACCGACAGGAACAACAUACUCCUUCCAUGAGCUAACAAUUUAGGUUGGGGCGACCUCGGAGCAUAAAACAACCUCCGAGUGAUAUUAAUCUAGACGUACCAGUCAAAAUGCUCACUUACUUAUUGAUCCAAAAACCUCUUUGAUCAACGGAACAAGUUACCCUAGGGAUAACAGCGCAAUCCUAUUUAAGAGUCCAUAUCGACAAUAGGGUUUACGACCUCGAUGUUGGAUCAGGACAUCCUAAUGGUGCAGCAGCUAUUAAGGGUUCGUUUGUUCAACGAUUAAAGUCCUACGUGAUCUGAGUUCAGACCGGAGCAAUCCAGGUCGGUUUCUAUCUAUUUAAACAACCUCUCCCGGUACGAAAGGACAAGAGAAGUAAGGCCUCCCUCACUGAGGCGCCUUAAGACCAAUAGAUGAUUUAAUCUAAAUCCAGUAAGUCUAUCCCCAAUACUGCCCAAGAGACAGGGCUUU
rnacentral:rRNA from 1 species